rnacentral:tRNA from 5 species
GGAGAGGUGCCAGAGUGGUUGAUUGGGCCGGUCUCGAAAACCGGUGUACCCGCAAGGGUACCGAGGGUUCAAAUCCCUCCCUCUCCG